rnacentral:misc_RNA from 1 species
GGUUGGAUCAUUACCAAUGAUUGGUGCCUGGGAGUAUUGAGUGGUCUCUGUGAUCCUCGCCUAGGUGCCUACCAACCUCUGUGCAAAUAAUCGUAUUUGGGUCUAGGACUCUGUGUUUGCCUGAUACCUAUGGGUGCAUACCUAUGCAUAGCUAUGCAUACCUAUGGGUGACAGUGAAUAGCAUAGAGAAGUGGGCCCGGCAUAUGUAAACCCCUAUAUAUAAUUGAAUUAUGAUUGAUUCCCAAGGGAACAAAACCAUUACAACUUUUAACAAUGGAUCUCUUGGCUCUCGCAACGAUGAAGAACGCAGCGAAAUGCGAUACGUAAUGUGAAUUGCAGAAUUCCGUGAAUCAUCGAAUCUUUGAACGCACAUUGCACUCUGUUUCGGCAGAGUAUGCCUGUUUGAGAACCUAUAGUAUCAUUUUCGUGGUAGAUGCAGACCUGAAGCUCUCUUUACGGGGAGCGCAGGGGUGUGUUUGGCAGGAGAGAUUUGAGAUUCCCUCUAACACAGGGUCUCUUUAAAACUAUGGCUGCUGUAGAGGAAGCUAUGCUGACCUUUGCUUUUACUGCGGAAACGUAUGCGAGUAGGCCCUUUUAGUUGCUAGUCGACUGGAGUUGGGUUUUCCUAUACGUGAUUAGCAGGUUUACAAGUGAAGCGAGUAGCGACUGAAAUGGCACACACUGGGAGGGAGGGGUAAGGUUGUGGUAGGCAAACGCUAUACCAGAACCAAACCUCACCCAAACCCAAACCAUUGGGCGAAAGCCUUGAACCAUGGUCUCAAAUCAGGUAGGACGACCCGCUGAACUUAAGCAUAUCAAUAAGCGGAGGAAAAGAAACUAACAAGGAUUCCCCUAGUAACGGCGAGUGAAGCGGGAAGAGCUCAAAUUUGAAAUCUCACAGGUUCCCUGUGCGAAUUGUAGUUUAGAGAAACGUUUUCGGGGUUGAACUCAGUACAAGUUCUUUGGAACAAGACAUCAUAGAGGGUGAAAAUCCCGUCUUUGACUGAGAGCUCAGCUCUGUGUGAUACGUUUUCCAAGAGUCGGUUUGUUUGGGAAUGCAGACCAAAAUGGGUGGUAAAUACCAUCUAAAGCUAAAUACUGGCGAGAGACCGAUAGCGAACAAGUACCGUGAGGGAAAGAUGGAAAGAACUUUGAAAAGAGAGUUAAAUAGUACGUGAAAUUGUUAAAAGGGAAACGUUUGAAACCAGUAUUGUUUGCAGGGAUCCAGCCGUGGUUUACUGCGGUGUAUCUCUCUGUAGACGGGUCAACAUCAGUUUGGGGUGGAGUAAAAAGCGUUUGGAACGUAGCCUUUCGGGGUGUUAUAGCCAAGCGAAAUGCUUUGCGCUGGACUGAGGACUGCUGCCUGUGUCGGUGUUGGUUGCCCGGGGAAGUACUGGGUCUGAAUGCUUGCAUACAGGCCUGGAUAUGAACCGGCUCGGCGAAUUACCUAUCAGGCAAAGGAUGUUGACGAAAUGGUUUUAAGCGACCCGUCUUGAAACACGGACCAAGGAGUCUAACAUUUAUGCGAGUAUUUGGGUGGAAAACCCUUAUGCGUAAUGAAAGUGAAAAGGUGGGAUCCUUUACUGGUGCACCAUCGACCGCGCCAGAUUAUUACUAUCUCGGCGUGAGUAUGAGCAUACAUGCUGGGACCCGAAAGAUGGUGAACUAUGCCUGAAUAGGGUGAAGCCAGAGGAAACUCUGGUGGAGGCUCGUAGCGGUUCUGACGUGCAAAUCGAUCGUCGAAUUUGGGUAUAGGGGCGAAAGACUAAUCGAACCAUCUAGUAGCUGGUUCCCUC